rnacentral:rRNA from 1 species
UACAGAGGGUGCAAGCGUUGUUCGGAAUUAUUGGGCGUAAAGGGCGCGUAGGCGGCGCGGGUAGUCAUCGGUGAAAGUUCAGGGCUCAACUCUGAAUCGGCCGGUGAUACUCCCGUGCUCGAGCACUGUAGAGGCAGGUGGAAUUCCGGGUGUAGCGGUGGAAUGCGUAGAGAUCCGGAAGAACACCGGUGGCGAAGGCGGCCUGCUGGGCAGUAGCUGACGCUGAUGCGCGACAGCGUGGGGAGCAAACAGG